rnacentral:rRNA from 1 species
GACAGAGGGUGCAAACGUUGUUCGGAAUUACUGGGCGUAAAGCGCGUGUAGGCGGCUAUGCAAGUCGGGCGUGAAAGCCCUCGGCUCAACCGAGGAAGUGCACUCGAAACUGCGUAGCUAGAGUCCCGGAGAGGAAGGUGGAAUACUUGGUGUAGAGGUGAAAUUCGUAGAUAUCAAGUGGAACACCGGUGGCGAAGGCGGCAUCCUGGACCGGUAUUGACGCUGAGGCGCGAAAGCUAGGGUAGCAAACGGG